GCCUUUUUGGCUCAGUUGGUUUAUCGCGAGUUGCUGGCGCGGUUUCUAACAGUAUCACCGGUUGCAUUAGGUCGCAGGUUCAAACCCUGGCAGGUGCA